AUUGAACGCUGGCGGCAGGCCUAACACAUGCAAGUCGAGCGGAUGAAGGGAGCUUGCUCCUGGAUUCAGCGGCGGACGGGUGAGUAAUGCCUAGGAAUCUGCCUGGUAGUGGGGGAUAACGUCCGGAAACGGGCGCUAAUACCGCAUACGUCCUGAGGGAGAAAGUGGGGGAUCUUCGGACCUCACGCUAUCAGAUGAGCCUAGGUCGGAUUAGCUAGUUGGUGGGGUAAAGGCCUACCAAGGCGACGAUCCGUAACUGGUCUGAGAGGAUGAUCAGUCACACUGGAACUGAGACACGGUCCAGACUCCUACGGGAGGCAGCAGUGGGGAAUAUUGGACAAUGGGCGAAAGCCUGAUCCAGCCAUGCCGCGUGUGUGAAGAAGGUCUGCGGAUUGUAAAGCACUUUAAGUUGGGAGGAAGGGCAGUAAGUUAAUACCUUGCUGUUUGGACGUUACCAACAGAAUAAGCACCGGCUAACUUCGG
rnacentral:rRNA from 1 species